rnacentral:rRNA from 1 species
GCAUAUCAAUAAGCGGAGGAAAAGAAACUAACAAGGAUUCCCCUAGUAACGGCGAGUGAAGAGGGAAGAGCUCAAAUUUUAAAUCUAUCAUGUUUGUACAUGAUCGAAUUGUAAUUUGAAGAAGCGUUUUCUCGUACUUUAUGCAAUCAGUAUAAGUUCUCUUGGAACAGGACAUCAUAGAGGGUGAUAAUCCCGUCUGUUACUGGUUGUGAGGUUCGUUAUGAUACGCUUUCAAAGAGUCGAGUUGUUUGGGAUUGCAGCUCCAAAUGGGUGGUAAACAUCACCUAAGGCUAAAUAUUUGCGAGAGACCGAUAGCGAACAAGUACCGUGAGGGAAAGAUGAAAAGAACUUUGAAAAGAGAGUUAAAAAGUAUGUGAAAUUGUUGAAAGGGAAACGAUUGAAGUCAGUCGUGCAGUCAUCAAUUCAGCGGUUAACAUUUUAUGUUUCCGUGUAAUUUGGUGUCUGUUGGUUAGCAUCAAUUUUGAUUGUUAUAAAAAGGUUAAGGGGAUGUGGCUCCUUCGGGAGUGUUAUAACCCUUAGCGUAAUGUGACGAUUAGGAUUGAGGUUUGCAACGAAUACCUUUUAGGGCAGUUUCACCUGGCCUCUCGUGGAAUUAUAGAUAGUUAAGAGCAUGCUCUUACUGUCUAUGAUUCUACGAAAAGGUUGGAGUGUAAAACUAAUUCGUUAAGGAUGUUGACGUA